rnacentral:lncRNA from 1 species
AAAAGGUAAGUCAAUAAUGAACCCUAAAUGUACAUACAUACAUACGAGAAAAUUAGUCUGUUAUGGCUUCAGUUUCUUAAGUAAUUACUGUAAUCACUGAAUUUUGUCUGGCUCGAUUUCGUGUUUUAAAAAAAAAAAAAAAAUUCAAAAAAAAAUACAAAAAAUAGAAAAUUACAUUUUGGCUCCUAAACUUUUUGAAAUUUCAUUUUGACCCCUAAAUUUUCCUAAAAUUAUAUUUUGACCCCUAAACUUUUCCGAAAUUACAUUUUGACCCAUAAACUUUUUUAAAUUACAUUAUGACCCCUAAAUUUUCUCGAAAUUAUGUUUUGGCCUCAGAAGUGUUGCUACGUUUGCAAUCUGGUCCUUCUAGCAGCCAAACGCGAUUUGCGCACCUACUCCCCGAUUUUCCGGCCGCCGGCCUAAGGCAUGGCCUCCCUCCUCCCUAGCCACCUGCUCCCUGCAAAAAGAAGAGGAAAAACAUCUGUAAAAAGGGGUUUUAACCCCAAAAAUCGGGACACCCCCCGACGAAGCAAAAAAUUUUCAAGAAAAAAAUAAAAAAAGAGAGAGCAUUUCAAAAAAAAAAAAGAAAAGAGGGGGAAAGAGAAAGAGAAGGAGAAAAGAGGGAGCUCCGACGGUGGCGGUACGAACGGCGGCAAGUGGCGGCGGUGCAACUAAGGCGUGAAGAGGAAGGAGGAAGAAGAAGAGGAAGAAGAAAGGAAAGAAAAAAAAAAAGAUUUUUAACACAAUCAGGUCGACCCGACCCGACACGAUCCGACCCGCGACUCGCGACCCAAGAAACCCAGCAGCAGCCCCAGCCCCCCAAAAAAAUUAAGCAAAAAAAAGAAAGAAAAAGAGCAGAAAAAAAAGGAAGAAGCAGGCCCAUUUCCAGCAGCCCAACAGCAGGCCCCAGUCCAACAGCCAGCCUGUCCAGCAGCAGCCCAGCAGUGCAGCGGCCCAAACCAGCGCAGCCCAACAGCAGCCCACAGCAGGCAGGCCAGCAGAAAAAAAAAGAAAAAGAAAAGAAAAAAGAGAAAAAAGAAAAAGGAAAAAAAGGAGGAGCUCGAGCCGUGUAGCC